GCCCGGAUGUUGUAGUGGUAUCAUACGCCGUUCGGAUCGGCGUGGUCCCGGGUUCAAAUCCCGGUUCGGGCC